rnacentral:rRNA from 1 species
AUGUGUGUACCAAAAGACCAAGGAGGAAUGAGUUUUCGAGACAUACAUUAUUUCAAUAUGGCCUUGUUAGCCAAACAAGCGUGGCGCCUGCUUGAUAAUCCUGAUUCCCUAUGUGCCACCAUUUUAAGAGUUAAAUAUUUUCCGGAUGGAGAUUUAAUGAAUGCAAGUUUGAAAAAAAGAUCUUCUUUCACUUGGCAAAGCAUCAUGGCUGGAGUGGAUUCUCUCAAAAAAGGUUAUAUUUGA